rnacentral:rRNA from 1 species
GACGAACGCUGGCGGCGUGCUUAACACAUGCAAGUCGAACGGAAAGGCCCUGCUUUUGUGGGGUGCUCGAGUGGCGAACGGGUGAGUAACACGUGAGUAACCUGCCCUUGACUUUGGGAUAACUUCAGGAAACUGGGGCUAAUACCGGAUAGGAGCUCCUGCUGCAUGGUGGGGGUUGGAAAGUUUCGGCGGUUGGGGAUGGACUCGCGGCUUAUCAGCUUGUUGGUGGGGUAGAGGCUUACCAAGGCUUUGAUGGGUAGCCGGCCUGAGAGGGUGACCGGCCACAUUGGGACUGAGAUACGGCCCAGACUCCUACGGGAGGCAGCAGUGGGGAAUAUUGCACAAUGGGCGGAAGCCUGAUGCAGCAACGCCGCGUGCGGGAUGACGGCCUUCGGGUUGUAAACCGCUUUCGCCUGUGACGAAGCGUGAGUGACGGUAAUGGGUAAAGAAGCACCGGCUAACUACGUG